CAGGCUUAACACAUGCAAGUCGAGGGGCAGCAUGGUCUUAGCUUGCUAAGGCCGAUGGCGACCGGCGCACGGGUGAGUAACACGUAUCCAACCUGCCGUCUACUCUUGGACAGCCUUCUGAAAGGAAGAUUAAUACAAGAUGGCAUCAUGAGUCCGCAUGUUCACAUGAUUAAAGGUAUUCCGGUAGACGAUGGGGAUGCGUUCCAUUAGAUAGUAGGCGGGGUAACGGCCCACCUAGUCUUCGAUGGAUAGGGGUUCUGAGAGGAAGGUCCCCCACAUUGGAACUGAGACACGGUCCAAACUCCUACGGGAGGCAGCAGUGAGGAAUAUUGGUCAAUGGGCGAGAGCUUGAACCAGCCAAGUAGCGUGAAGGAUGACUGCCCUAUGGGUUGUAAACUUCUUUUAUAAAGGAAUAAAGUCGGGUAUGGAUACCCGUUUGCAUGUACUUUAUGAAUAAGGAUCGGCUAACUCCGUGCCAGCAGCCGCGGUAAUACGGAGGAUCCGAGCGUUAUCCGGAUUUAUUGGGUUUAAAGGGAGCGUAGAUGGAUGUUUAAGUCAGUUGUGAAAGUUUGCGGCUCAACCGUAAAAUUGCAGUUGAUACUGGAUAUCUUGAGUGCAGUUGAGGCAGGCGGAAUUCGUGGUGUAGCGGUGAAAUGCUUAGAUAUCACGAAGAACUCCGAUUGCGAAGGCAGCCUGCUAAGCUGCAACUGACAUUGAGGCUCGAAAGUGUGGGUAUCAAACAGGGUUAGAUACCCUGGUAGUCCACACGGUAAACGAUGAAUACUCGCUGUUUGCGAUAUACUGCAAGCGGCCAAGCGAAAGCGUUAAGUAUUCCACCUGGGGAGUACGCCGGCAACGGUGAAACUCAAAGGAAUUGACGGGGGCCCGCACAAGCGGAGGAACAUGUGGUUUAAUUCGAUGAUACGCGAGGAACCUUACCCGGGCUUAAAUUGCAGAUGAAUUACGGUGAAAGCCGUAAGCCGCAAGGCAUCUGUGAAGGUGCUGCAUGGUUGUCGUCAGCUCGUGCCGUGAGGUGUCGGCUUAAGUGCCAUAACGAGCGCAACCCUUGUUGUCAGUUACUAACAGGUUCCGCUGAGGACUCUGACAAGACUGCCAUCGUAAGAUGUGAGGAAGGUGGGGAUGACGUCAAAUCAGCACGGCCCUUACGUCCGGGGCUACACACGUGUUACAAUGGGGGGUACAGAGGGCCGCUACCACGCGAGUGGAUGCCAAUCCCCAAAACCUCUCUCAGUUCGGACUGGAGUCUGCAACCCGACUCCACGAAGCUGGAUUCGCUAGUAAUCGCGCAUCAGCCACGGCGCGGUGAAUACGUUCCCGGGCCUUGUACACACCGCCCGUCAAGCCAUGGGAGCCGGGGGUACCUGAAGUGCGUAACCGCGAGGAGCGCCCUAGGGUAAAACUGGUGACUGGGGC
rnacentral:rRNA from 1 species